rfam:Culex pipiens quinquefasciatus supercont3.230 genomic scaffold, whole genome shotgun sequence.
GGCUCCGUGGCUUAAUGGUUACAGCUUCUGCUUCACAAGCAGAAGGUUUAGGGUUCAAAUCCCGGUCGGUACCU